UACGGAGGGUGCGAGCGUUGUCCGGAAUCAUUGGGCGUAAAGGGCUCGUAGGCGGCCAACUAAGUCGGAUGUGAAAUCCCCAGGCUUAACCUGGGAACUGCAUCCGAUACUGGAUGGCUUGAAUUCGGGAGAGGGAUGCAGAAGUUCCAGGUGUAGCGGUGAAAUGCGUAGAUAUCUGGAGGAAUACCGGUGGCGAAGGCGGCAUCCUGGACCGAGAUUGACGCUGAUGAGCGAAAGCUAGGGGAGCAAACGGGG
rnacentral:rRNA from 1 species